rnacentral:sRNA from 12 species
CCUUUGGAGUGUUAUAUAAACCAGAUUAGUCAGAUUUAUGAUGAAAUGGGACACGAUGAAUAAGGAA